UCAGGAUGAACGCUGGCGGCGUGCUUAACACAUGCAAGUCGAACGAAGCACUUUAUUACAAUUUCUUCGGAAUGACGAUUUAGUGACUGAGUGGCGGACGGGUGAGUAACGCGUGGGUAACCUGCCUUAUACAGGGGGAUAACAGUUAGAAAUGACUGCUAAUACCGCAUAAGCGCACAGGAUUGCAUGAUCUGGUGUGAAAAACUCCGGUGGUAUAAGAUGGACCCGCGUCUGAUUAGCUGGUUGGUGAGGUAACGGCCCACCAAGGCGACGAUCAGUAGCCGACCUGAGAGGGUGACCGGCCACAUUGGGACUGAGACACGGCCCAAACUCCUACGGGAGGCAGCAGUGGGAAUAUUGCACAAUGGGGGAAACCCUGAUGCAGCGACGCCGCGUGAGCGAAGAAGUAUUUCGGUAUGUAAAGCUCUAUCAGCAGGGAAGAAGAAAUGACGGUACCUGACUAAGAAGCUCCGGCUAAAUACGUG
rnacentral:rRNA from 1 species